rnacentral:tmRNA from 1 species
GGGGGCGUCACGGUUUCGACGUGCUUGGCGAGGUUGAAGCUGCGUGCCGAGAUUCCCGGAAUCUCGCUAAUCCAACCGGGAACUUGACAAACGCCAACAACAACAUGGCGAUGGCUGCGUAGGGAUAAACCCUGCUGCGGUCCGUCUCCGGGGAAGUCCGCCCGAUGCGACUCCGAGAGGCGACGACAGUUCGGGCUGGUCUUGCGGCGGCGCUGCCCCGCCGAAGGCGAGACAUCCCGGUAGCUAGCCUCGGGUCGGCGGUGUCCUGGCCGUGCUCGGUGGCGAAUAUGACAGGGCAAUACGCACGUAGACGCUUGGACUGACCCAUUCGCGGACGCGGGUUCGACUCCCGCCGCCUCCACUG